rnacentral:tRNA from 1 species
CAGGGGGUAGUUUAUAAAAAUAUUAGUUUUGGGGACUAAAGAUCGGGCAAAAGCUCUACUCCUGA